UACGUAGGGGGCAAGCGUUGUCCGGAUUUAUUGGGCGUAAAGAGCGUGUAGGCGGCCAGGUAGGUCCGUUGUGAAAACUCGAGGCUCAACCUCGAGACGCCGAUGGAAACCAUCUGGCUAGAGUCCGGAAGAGGAGAGUGGAAUUCCCGGUGUAGCGGUGGAAUGCGCAGAUAUCAGGAGGAACACCAAUAGCGAAGGCAGCUCGCUGGGACGGUACUGACGCUGAGGCGCGAAAGCGUGGGGAGCGAACAGG
rnacentral:rRNA from 1 species